AUUGAACGCUGGCGGCAGGCCUAACACAUGCAAGUCGAACGAGUGGCGGACGGGUGAGUAAUGUCUGGGAAACUGCCCGAUGGAGGGGGAUAACUACUGGAAACGGUAGCUAAUACCGCAUACCAUAAGAUGUGCCCAGAUGGGAUUAGCGAGUUGGGGGGGGAACGGCUCACCAAGGCGACGAUCCCUAGCGGGUUUGAGAGGGUGACCAGCCACACGGGACUGGAGCCACGGUCCAGACUCCUAGGGGAGGCAGAAGGGGGGAAUAUUGCACAAUGGGCGAAAGCCUAAUGCAGCAAGCCCGCGUGUAUGAAGAAGGCCUUGGGGUUGUAAAGUACUUUCAGCGGGAAGGCGUUACCCGCAGAAGAAGCACCGGCUAACGCCGUGCCAGCAGCCGCGGUAAUAC
rnacentral:rRNA from 1 species